rnacentral:rRNA from 1 species
AGAGUUUGAUUCUGGCUCAGGAUGAACGCUGGCGGCGUGCUUAACACAUGCAAGUCGAGCGAAGCAUUUUGGAUGAAGUUUUCGAAUGGAUUCUGGAAUGACUGAGCGGCGGACGGGUGAGUAACGCGUGGAUAACCUGCCUCAUACAGGGGGAUAACAGUUAGAAAUGACUGCUAAUACCGCAUAAGCGCACAGGGCCGCAUGGUCUGGUGUGAAAAACUCCGGUGGUAUGAGAUGGGUCCGCGUUGGAUUAGGCAGUUGGCGGGGUAACGGCCCACCAAACCGACGAUCCAUAGCCGGCCUGAGAGGGUGGACGGCCACAUUGGGACUGAGACACGGCCCAAACUCCUACGGGAGGCAGCAGUGGGGAAUAUUGCACAAUGGGGGAAACCCUGAUGCAGCGACGCCGCGUGAGUGAAGAAGUAUUUCGGUAUGUAAAGCUCUAUCAGCAGGGAAGAAAAUGACGGUACCUGACUAAGAAGCCCCGGCUAACUACGUGCCAGCAGCCGCGGUAAUACGUAGGGGGCAAGCGUUAUCCGGAUUUACUGGGUGUAAAGGGAGCGUAGACGGCUGUGCAAGUCUGAUGUGAAAGGCAGGGGCUCAACUCCUGGACUGCAUUGGAAACUGUGUAGCUUGAGUGCCGGAGAGGUAAGCGGAAUUCCUAGUGUAGCGGUGAAAUGCGUAGAUAUUAGGAGGAACACCAGUGGCGAAGGCGGCUUACUGGACGGUAACUGACGUUGAGGCUCGAAAGCGUGGGGAGCAAACAGGAUUAGAUACCCUGGUAGUCCACGCCGUAAACGA